GUUGUAUGGUUAAGUGACUAAGCGUACACGGUGGAUGCCUUGGCAGUCAGAGGCGAUGAAAGACGUAGUAACUUGCGAUAAGCCCAGAUUAGGUAGUAACAACCAUUUGAGUCUGGGAUUUCUGAAUGGGGAAACCCACUUACAUAAGUAAGUAUCAUUAACUGAAUACAUAGGUUAAUGAGGCGAACCGGGGGAACUGAAACAUCUAAGUACCCCGAGGAAAAGAAAUCAACCGAGAUUCCGAAAGUAGCGGCGAGCGAAAUUGGACUAGCCCUUAAGCUUUACACGCGUUAGACGAACGGUCUGGAAAGUCCGACGAUACAGGGUGAUAGUCCCGUAGUUGACGACGUGUGUUCAGUGAAAUCGAGUAGGGCGGGACACGUGAUAUCCUGUCUGAAUAUGGGGGGACCAUCCUCCAAGGCUAAAUACUACUGACUGACCGAUAGUGAACCAGUACCGUGAGGGAAAGGCGAAAAGAACCCCUGUGAGGGGAGUGAAAUAGAACCUGAAACCGUGUACGUACAAGCAGUAGGAGCAGGCUUUGUCCUGUGACUGCGUACCUUUUGUAUAAUGGGUCAGCGACUUAUAUUCAGUGGCAAGGUUAACCAUCUAGGGGAGCCGUAGGGAAACCGAGUCUUAACUGGGCGUUCAGUCUCUGGAUAUAGACCCGAAACCAGGUGAUCUAGCCAUGGGCAGGUUGAAGGUUGAGUAACAUCAACUGGAGGACCGAACCGACUAAUGUUGAAAAAUUAGCGGAUGACUUGUGGCUAGGGGUGAAAGGCCAAUCAAACCUGGAGAUAGCUGGUUCUCCCCGAAAGCUAUUUAGGUAGCGCCUCGGACGAAUACUACUGGGGGUAGAGCACUGUUAAGGCUAGGGGGUCAUCCCGACUUACCAACCCUUUGCAAACUCCGAAUACCAGUAAGUACUAUCCGGGAGACACACGGCGGGUGCUAACGUCCGUCGUGGAGAGGGAAACAACCCAGACCGCCAGCUAAGGUCCCAAAUUACUACUAAGUGGGAAACGAUGUGGGAAGGCUCAGACAGCCAGGAUGUUGGCUUAGAAGCAGCCAUCAUUUAAAGAAAGCGUAAUAGCUCACUGGUCGAGUCGGCCUGCGCGGAAGAUGUAACGGGGCUAAGUAGUAAACCGAAGCUGCGGCAAUAUACUUUUGUAUAUUGGGUAGGGGAGCGUUCUGUAAGCGGUUGAAGGUGUGUGGUAACGCAUGCUGGACGUAUCAGAAGUGCGAAUGCUGACAUGAGUAACGAUAAAGGGGGUGAAAAACCUCCUCGCCGGAAGACCAAGGGUUCCUGUCCAACGUUAAUCGGGGCAGGGUAAGUCGACCCCUAAGGCGAGGCCGAAAGGCGUAGUCGAUGGGAAACGGGUUAAUAUUCCCGUACUUCUUACAAUUGCGAUGGGGGGACGGAGAAGGCUAGGUGGGCCUGGCGACGGUUGUCCAGGUUCAAGUGCGUAGGCUUAAGAGUUAGGUAAAUCCGGCUCUUUUUAAGGCUGAGACACGACGUCGAGCACCUACGGGUGUGAAGUCAUUGAUGCCAUGCUUCCAGGAAAAGCCUCUAAGCUUCAGAUUGUAAGGAAUCGUACCCCAAACCGACACAGGUGGUCGGGUAGAGAAUACCAAGGCGCUUGAGAGAACUCGGGUGAAGGAACUAGGCAAAAUGGUACCGUAACUUCGGGAGAAGGUACGCUCUUGAUGGUGAAGUCCCUUGCGGAUGGAGCUGACGAGAGUCGCAGAUACCAGGUGGCUGCAACUGUUUAUUAAAAACACAGCACUGUGCAAAAUCGUAAGAUGACGUAUACGGUGUGACGCCUGCCCGGUGCCGGAAGGUUAAUUGAUGGGGUUAGACUUCGGUCGAAGCUCUUGAUCGAAGCCCCGGUAAACGGCGGCCGUAACUAUAACGGUCCUAAGGUAGCGAAAUUCCUUGUCGGGUAAGUUCCGACCUGCACGAAUGGCGUAAUGAUGGCCACGCUGUCUCCACCCGAGACUCAGUGAAAUUGAAAUCGCUGUGAAGAUGCAGUGUACCCGCGGCUAGACGGAAAGACCCCGUGAACCUUUACUACAGCUUGGCACUGAACAUUGACCCUACAUGUGUAGGAUAGGUGGGAGGCUUUGAAGCACGUACGCCAGUAUGUGUGGAGCCGUCCUUGAAAUACCACCCUUGUAGUGUUGAUGUUCUAACGUCGACCCCUAAUCGGGGUUGCGGACAGUGCCUGGUGGGUAGUUUGACUGGGGCGGUCUCCUCCCAAAGAGUAACGGAGGAGCACGAAGGUGGGCUAAUCACGGUUGGACAUCGUGAGGUUAGUGCAAUGGCAUAAGCCCGCUUGACUGCGAGAAUGACAAUUCGAGCAGGUGCGAAAGCAGGUCAUAGUGAUCCGGUGGUUCUGAAUGGAAGGGCCAUCGCUCAACGGAUAAAAGGUACUCCGGGGAUAACAGGCUGAUACCGCCCAAGAGUUCAUAUCGACGGCGGUGUUUGGCACCUCGAUGUCGGCUCAUCACAUCCUGGGGCUGAAGUCGGUCCCAAGGGUAUGGCUGUUCGCCAUUUAAAGUGGUACGCGAGCUGGGUUUAGAACGUCGUGAGACAGUUCGGUCCCUAUCUGCCGUGGGCG
rnacentral:rRNA from 1 species